rnacentral:misc_RNA from 1 species
AGGGUGCUGUUCUUUGUUCACUAACCUUUGUUUACUUCGCCAGAAAAUGGGGCUUGUCUGCAGGUCUUGUCCUUUGCUUUGGUUGUCGAGUUAAAUAUGAGUAUAAAGAGAAGGCACAGAGCAACCGAUGGAGAGAAAGGGUGGUGAUAAUCGUAAGAGGGACUUCCAGAGUGCUACACAAGAGGAUGAGGUAUCUGGUGAAUUUCCCUCAAAGAAAAGUUGCACUUCCCCAGACACCAUGAUUGUCAAAGGUGGAGAAGACAAAGCAGCCUUACCACAUCUUGAUCUAACAUCACAGCAAGAGCUUCCUGAUUCACAGAUGUCACUGGAUUUAUUCUCCUCACCAACAGAUGCCAUGUCACAGGAGUUUGAGCCAUUUGCACUACCCGAAUUGCAGGGAUUAUCAGGCAGUGAUGGGGCACCAGCAACUCAUGAGGAUACUGAGGAGGCUAGUCAGGAGCCAGCCUUGUUAUCACAGAUGUCUUACAUUGAGGAGGAGGACAGAGGAUGCAAGAGAACUGCAUCCCUACAGGAUAACAAAUCCACUGACAAUCUAUCAGGACGACACUCUCAAACAUCAGGCAAUGUUAGCAGGACAAUCCCAGAAAUGACACAAUGUGCCAAAGAGGACAAUCAAGAUGCAUCCACCAGCAAAGAUGAACUCUCUGAAGAACCCCUGUUAAGACCUAACCCUGGACGUUAUGUCAUCUUGCCAAUCAGAUAUCCACUCAUUUGGAAAUUUUACAAGAAAGCACAAGCUUCGUUUUGGACAUGUGAAGAAGUGGAUCUUGGAAGAGACCUUAAAGAUUGGCAAACGUUAAAGUCAUCUGAGCAGUAUUUCAUCAAGCACAUCCUGGCCUUCUUUGCAGCAAGCGAUGGUAUUGUCAAUGAGAACCUAGUGGAGAGGUUUGGUCAAGAGGUUCAGAUUCCUGAGGCAAGAUGUUUCUAUGGCUUCCAAAUGGCUAUGGAGAACGUGCACUCUGAGAUGUACAGUCUCCUCAUAGAAAGCUACAUACAGGAUCCUGCAGAGAAGACUCGACUUUUUAAUGCAAUUGAAACGAUGCCAUGCAUCAAGAAGAAAGCUGACUGGGCCAUUCGAUGGAUUCAUGCCAAGGAAGCUACAUUUGGAGAGAGACUCGUUGCAUUCGCUGCAGUGGAAGGCAUCUUCUUCUCGGGAUCAUUUGCAGCUAUAUUUUGGCUGAGGAAGAGGGGUUUGAUGCCUGGCCUGACAUUCUCUAAUGAGCUGAUCAGCCGUGAUGAGGGUCUACACUGUGACUUUGCCUGCCAUCUCUUCACUUACAUUGUGCACAAGCCUAGCCCUACUCGCAUCCAGGAGAUCAUCUUAGAGGCAGUAGAGACUGAGAAGCAGUUCUUUCAAGAGGCCUUGCCAGUCAGGUUGAUUGGAAUGAAUGCUGAGCUCAUGUUACAGUACAUUGAGUUUGUGGCUGACAGAUUGCUGAUGGAGCUGCAUUGCCACAAGGUGUACAAGACGUGUAACCCCUUUGACUUCAUGGAAUCUAUCUCCCUGGAAGGUAAGUCCAAUUUCUUUGAGAAGCGAGUGGCCGAGUACCAGCGAGCAAACGUAAUGGCUGCAGACGAUGACAGACACGUCUUUACACUGAAUGCUGAUUUUUAGGUCAUCUAGAUUGGGUGUUUGUAAGCAUUUGUAUUCUGGAACCGAAUUCGUUUUUAAUUAUUUUCUGAGGUGGGAUUUGAACCAGCAACCUCCCUACAGCCAUCCCAGUGGAUUCUGACAUGGAGGUCGCAUUCCCCUCAUUAAGAACCGAGUUUAGCGUACUAUUCAGCUUCCAACUAAAGCUUCCAACCAACUCAGGAAAGAAACACAACUCUCGUCUUUUUAAAACAUUAUUGGUGGGUUUAAACAAAUUGUGUUGAAAUAAAAAUAAAACUUGGGGAUAAUAAGGUUCUUCACAAGAUUUCUUUGGGUAUUUUGUAUGAUAACCUGAUGAUUCUCGUGAGCUCCAGAACAUUUGAAUUUGUAUUCAAUUUGGUAAUUUGUUUUGUCAUUAUUUCCUUUAAAAUGGGUCACAGGGAUAUUUGUCAACUUGUACAUAAAAAAGCAUGUAUGCAGAGACAGAAAUUACCAAGAGGCUGGAGCAGAAUUACUUGAUUUGUCACUAUCUGUUAUGGAAUUCAUGACUUCAAUUUUCAGGGUUCUCUCAAAAUCUUAAAAUGAAAUUCCAUGACAUUUCAAAGACUUUUCCAGAACAAAAUGAGAGCAUUUCAUGACCAAUUCCUAGGCUGUAUUGGCAUCUUAGAGCCAUUUACAAUACACUGGCCAGUCAUAACACUGAAAAUAAAGGUCUAUGCAAUGUGCAUUACCAUCAAGAUGAUGGCCUCCACCUCCCCCUCACAGCAGUGAGCAUCAGUUUGAUGGAUUUGGUGCUAUAAAAGAUUAUUACAUGUAUUAGUAUCCAAUGCUCCCACUUUUUCAUGGCCUGCACCUCCCCUCACAGUGUCAGUACCCCAAAGCUUUGAAUGGUACAAAGCUCUAAACUUCAGUACAA